rnacentral:rRNA from 1 species
AGUUGUAUCCUGGCUCAGGACGAACGCUGGCGGCGUGCCUAACACAUGCAAGUCGAGCGGAGAUUUGGGAGCUUGCUCCCAAAUCUUAGCGGCGGACGGGUGAGUAACACGUGGGCAACCUGCCCUGCAGACUGGGAUAACUCCGGGAAACCGGAGCUAAUACCGGGUAAUACAUAGCACCGCAUGGUGCAACGUUGAAAGUUGGCUUUCGAGCUAACACUGCAGGAUGGGCCCGCGGCGCAUUAGCUAGUUGGUAAGGUAAUGGCUUACCAAGGCGACGAUGCGUAGCCGACCUGAGAGGGUGAUCGGCCACACUGGGACUGAGACACGGCCCAGACUCCUACGGGAGGCAGCAGUAGGGAAUCUUCCGCAAUGGACGAAAGUCUGACGGAGCAACGCCGCGUGAGUGACGAAGGCCUUCGGGUCGUAAAGCUCUGUUGUUAGGGAAGAACAAGUACCGUUCGAAUAGGGCGGUACCUUGACGGUACCUAACCAGAAAGCCACGGCUAACUACGUGCCAGCAGCCGCGGUAAUACGUAGGUGGCAAGCGUUGUCCGGAAUUAUUGGGCGUAAAGCGCGCGCAGGCGGUCUUUUAAGUCUGAUGUGAAAGCCCACGGCUCAACCGUGGAGGGUCAUUGGAAACUGGAGGACU